rnacentral:misc_RNA from 1 species
AACUGAUACUACCUGCGGGAACCUGCGGAAGGAUCAUUACCGAGUUUACAACUCCCAAACCCAAUGUGAACGUUACCAAACUGUUGCCUCGGCGGGAUCUCUGCCCCGGGUGCGUCGCAGCCCCGGACCAAGGCGCCCGCCGGAGGACCAACCAAAACUCUUUUGUAUACCCCCUCGCGGGUUUUUAUAUAUCUGAGCCAUCUCGGCGCCUCUCGUAGGCGUUUCGAAAAUGAAUCAAAA